rnacentral:rRNA from 1 species
CCUACGGGAGGCUGCAGUGGGGAAUAUUGCACAAUGGGCGAAAGCCUGAUGCAGCAACGCCGCGUGAGCGAUGAAGGCCUUCGGGUCGUAAAGCUCUGUCCUCAAGGAAGAUAAUGACGGUACUUGAGGAGGAAGCCCCGGCUAACUACGUGCCAGCAGCCGCGGUAAUACGUAGGGGGCUAGCGUUAUCCGGAAUUACUGGGCGUAAAGGGUGCGUAGGUGGUUUCUUAAGUCAGAGGUGAAAGGCUACGGCUCAACCGUAGUAAGCCUUUGAAACUGGGAAACUUGAGUGCAGGAGAGGAGAGGGGAAUUCCGAGGGUAGUGGUGAAUGGGGUAGAUAGUAGGAGGAAGAGCAGUGGCGAAGGCG